rnacentral:rRNA from 1 species
UACAGAGGUCCCAAGCGUUGUUCGGAUUCACUGGGCGUAAAGGGUGCGUAGGUGGCUUGGUAAGUUCGAUGUGAAAUCUCCGGGCUUAACCCGGAAAUGGCAUUGAAUACUAUUGAGCUGGAGGUUUGGAGGGGGGACUGGAAUUCUCGGUGUAGCAGUGAAAUGCGUAGAUAUCGGGAGGAACACCAGUGGCGAAGGCGGUUGCCUGGAGCUUUUGCUGA